GCUGUGGCUGUCUUUAGGGCGGCGCAGCCCCGUCGGAGCUUGUGAGAGGAUCAGCCUGGGCGCUGCUGUUGCGGCCGUGAGGUGACUAGAGGGCCGGGCCAGGUGGGUAACCUGUCUUUCAGAUGGCAGAUAACAGUAAAGCAGAAGAUGUUGCCUCAGAUUCUGUGGAAACUGCUAAAAGUACAGGAGACAAAAAAGAAAAGCUAGCAGACCAGGUGAUGCAGAAUCCUCAAGUCCUGGCAGCUUUGCAGGAACGACUUGAUAAUGCACCUCACACUCCUUCCAGUUACAUUGAAACCUUACCAAAAGCAGUAAAACGAAGAAUUGAUGCCUUGAAACAGCUACAGGUGAAAUGUGCCCACAUAGAAGCUAAGUUUUAUGAAGAAGUUCAUGAUUUAGAGAGAAAAUACGCUGCCCUUUACCAGCCUCUCUUUGAUAAGAGAAGGGAUUUCAUCAUUGGUGCUGCUGAACCAACAGAUGCUGAGGCAGAAUGGCACAGUGAAAAUGAAGAAGAAGAGAAACUAGCUGGAGACCUGAAAAAUAAAGUAGUAAUAGAAGAAAAAGAAGCAGGUGCAGCAGAAGAGACAAAUCCCAGAGGAAUCCCAGAUUUUUGGUUCACAAUAUUUAGAAAUGUAGAUAUGCUGAGUGAAUUAGUACAGGAAUAUGAUGAACCAAUUUUGAAGCAUCUGCAGGAUAUCAAAGUGAAAUUUUCUGAGCCAGGGCAACCAAUGUCUUUCACAUUAGAGUUCUACUUUGAGUCCAAUGACUACUUUACUAAUUCUCUUCUGACAAAAACCUACAAGAUGAAAUCAGAACCAGACAAGACAGAUCCUUUUUCAUUUGAAGGCCCUGAAAUUAUUGACUGUGAAGGAUGUACUAUUGACUGGAAAAAAGGAAAAAAUGUUACUGUUAAAACAAUAAAGAAGAAACAGAAACAUAAGGGGCGAGGAACUGUUAGAACGAUUACUAAACAAGUACCAAAUGAUUCAUUCUUUAACUUCUUCAGUCCAAUAAAAGGCACAAAUAAAGAUGAUAAGUCCACUUCCCAAGCCAUUGUUAGAUGAGUAGUUCAAGCUAUUAAGUUGUAUUCUCAACAAACUGACUUACCUUGUCCACUGGGAGUUCAUGCCCAUUCCACCAGGUCACAGGUGUCUUCAGCAGCCCUGCUCAAAGGUGUGUCUCUACAAGACAUCUGUAGAGCUGCAACAUGGACUUCAGCUGAUACAUUCAUCAGGCACUACAUCCUAGAUGUGCAUAACAAGAGAGAAGCAGCCGUGGGUUGCGCUUACCUGUAACUCUUGUUCAUUGAAGUGUUCUAUGCAGGUGCACAUACUAUUCCUCCUUUCCCCACCGUAUGCUCUUCACUACUUACCUGGAGAGUCUGGUGGCUAAGGAGGAACUCAGGGUUGGGGCCGUUGCUCCUCUCAGAAAGCAGUAUGUUUUGGCAGGAAACAAGUUGUACAUGCGCUUUGGGAAGGGGCAGAUGCCCCAUAGAGGAAUUUUAACUGUAGAACCUACCAAUUGGCAGGCAUGCACAGCACAUGUACAGUCCCAUGUGCGCCUGCACAGAAGACCUCAGUGGAGAACUGUUACAGAUAAGUGCAACCCUAUUUUUUCAGUCAGUGUUAACAACAGCAACCAAACAAAACUGAAAAAAUGUGAUGCAUGUAACUAGAAUUUUUGCUCUGUAAAUUAAAACUUCCAAAUCUUCUGUAGCAAACCUUGUUCUAUGCACUACUGGAAAGAAACACCUUACCAUGUUUUCCAUAAAUCGUAUUCAGGUAAAUAGUAAAGAAUAUGUUAUGCCUUUGGAGUUCCAGAGGUGUCAGUUUUGUGAAAGGGUAUAGUGAAAGGGGCAGUUUGUGAACCCGUGAUGAUGGAGCUGAGUAAACUGUUCAACUAAGACUGAUCUUUUUAGGCAUGAUCCAGUCUGGAACAUUUUAACGUGGCAGCAAAUGAUGGCUAGACUCCACUGGUUACUGGCUUUUUCAGCUCAAAAGCAGUUUGGUGAUUUAAAAGCUUUUUAAACAGUUCAGGUGAAGGGAUUAGUUCUCUCAUCUGGUAUCUUAUCUCUUGAGAAGGGGAAAAACUUGCAGUUUCACUGAAGUAACCUACAAAUUAAUGUGUCCAAGCUAAUUCCAGGAAGCUAAUCACACAAGCUUGGGAUUUAAAAAAAAAUAAUGCUGAAAUUAUUCUCUGUCAGGAAUCAGUGUUGGCAUGUUCAUUCAUACUAAAAUCCACAGUUCUGUAGCUAGAGCCAAGUUGUAUGGACCUUUCUGUGGUUUAAUCUUGUAGGUCAACGCCACUGUAUAGUUACAUUUGUAUUUAUUUAGAACAUUUACGUACCACUUUCCCCAUCUAUAUACAUUAAAAGCAUCUCACAGUAAACAUUUACCACAAUACUUAAAAUACCAAUAAAAUCCAAUUUGAUUGAAAAAAAUAAUCUGGAACAUGUCUCUUUAGUGUUUUGGGGCCUGUAAUUAUGGGCCCACAGAUUUUUCCAAUGGUAGUUCAUAGUUCAAGGAAGGCAAACAAGGAACCUGCUGCAAGUCCCCACUAAUCAAACCUCAGAAAAAGCAUCACUCCCUGGACAAUUUUGGAAAGCCGUCUGUUCAUCUGAUAGAGGUGAUGUUUCAGGUAUUUUGGACCUGAUCUGUUGAGGACUUUAAUGGUCACAUCAGAAUGAUAGUUAGCACAUUUUAAUUUUAAUACACCUUUGAGCAAAUAAAUGAAAGUAGAUUAUUUGAAAAUGGAGAUACUGUAGCUCUCCCAAAGCAUCAAUACUCACAUACGGCUAACACUGGGCUCAGACUAGAGUAACUCUUCUUAGAAUUGCAUUGUAAAAAUGUUCCAGGUGUUAGACUAUUCACAUGGUUUUCACACUAGAACUUGCUGGUGAAUUGGGACUGGCUGUUUAAUCUCUCUCUCUCUCUUUUAGUUUCAGGUGAUGGAGAAACACUGGAUGAAGAUUCAGAGUGUACUUUAGCUAUAGACUUUGAAGUUGGGCACUUCUUCCGUGAAAGAAUAGUGCCUCGUG